rnacentral:lncRNA from 1 species
AGCUUGCAAUAAUUAGUAGCAUUGCUACUUUCUCAGUAUGUUCCUAUCUGUUAUCGUCUGGUAUAUAUUGAAAGAAAUAAAACAUGGUUAUUGCUCCAGAAUUUCCUGCUCUUAAGUAAUUACUUACAUGUCAACAGAAAAUGUACAGCACUGCCUGCAUUAUUUCUUGGUCUGAGAGACUAGGGGAUGUUAUUUAUUUAUUUAUUUAUUUACAUUUAAUUUAGGAAAUAUUUAUUAUCCCUAAGGUUUACUGCUUAGUCUUGACAAGCUAUCUAAUUGUUCUUCUGUGUAUUAUUUCUUCACAAUGUGUUUCAAGGUCUGCAUAAUAGGAUUACACACAUACACACAAAAAUAUGAUUUAACUUGUCAGAAAUCUGUUUCUGGAAACUAAUUUUCUCCAUACUGUUUUUCUGAAACAGGAUUUUGAUAUUAUUCGUUUCUGUGUCUAUUUAUAUCAUUCAGUAGCUAAUUACUAUAGUUUAAUUUGAAAAUGACAUACAGGAGGUUAUCUGAUUAUACAACAAAAAAAAAUGUUUAACUUUUCAAAGAAAGUAGCUGAGAAUCUAAUGUUUAUAGCUACGUUACUAAAACAAAAAAAAAUCUGCUAAUAAUAUAUAUAUAUACACAUAUAAUAUAUAUAUACAUAUAUAAUGUUAAUUAAAAUGUACUUAUAUACAUUUCCAUCUUUUAAGAUAUUUUUUUGGCAGAUAUUCCUUCAUAAAAUUCAUCUUCCAAAGCACAUACAAUACCCUCCUUAGGUAGUCCUGAAAGUGAAAUGGAACUAGAUUUCUUUAAUGGAAACACAAACAUAUCUUGAAGUUAAUGUCAACCUCAAAAUUUCUGAAAAGAGAAUGCACAUGCUUGGAAUUUUUUUUUUUAAAGUUACAGCAAAUCUAGGGAAGUGUUACCACAGUAGGAACUAAUGUGCUAUGUGUUUUGGUGCACCACUUAACUGGUUAUUCUGUUGCACACUUUGAUAUACAAGCUGAUUACUAUGCUGUAUUUUCUUCUGCUGCUUGUGACUAUCAUGCAAUUGAUCAUGAAUGCCAUUACUGUUUUCUUUUAUUAUUACUUUUUCCUUGAUUGGACAAUGCUUAAAGGUGUUUUUUUAAUUAUAUCUUCUAUUUGUUUAUUCUUUUGUUUUCAGUUGGUUUUGAACAUCAUAUUGAUAAUACUUAAAAAUAGUUAAAAUACUUACAAAUAAGACUUAAAAAUAGUGUAUAAUGUAAGUGAUGUACAGCUUAUUUCCUGUAUUGCUAUUUAUUUUUUUGAGUUUGAAGUAAUUAAUGAAAGGAAGUUCAUUAUUUACAGUAUAUGUUAGAACAUAUAUAAGAUUCAAGGUGUACACUGAAAUGUUAAUCUCUAGAUAUGACUCACUAGUCCUUAUUUUCUUACAGUUCAUUUGUGCUGACAGAGAAAAUACAGGUUUUCAGAAAGAACAGAAUUGGACAUAACUUAUGAUAAUGCAUCUCAAAUUUUUGUUUAAUUUGCAAUGUCAGUAAAUCUAUAACUGUUGUUAAAAUGAUGUCUAUGAGUACUUUUCUCUUUUUGGAUGAUAAUGUGAUGAUUUUGUAAGCUCUGAAUCUUAUUCAGUUUUUUAAGACAAAGUGAAUAUUGGAAGUCCAUUUUUAAGUACAAUAGACAUACAGUACAAAAUCACACAUACUCAGAUCUUACUUUAGAUUUCAUCAAUAGUUAUUAUUUUCGUGCUUCAGCAAUAAUUUCUGCUUUUUUCUUGUUCUUGAUUGUUUUUGGAAUAAGCAUAGUGGAAUCUCAUCACUUCAGAAAACAAGGAUAAUGAACAGCUCAACCAGGAGAGGUCAUCAUAAGAUAAAAAGUAGUACUGAAAAUGCAAAUUUUAUGGUCUUUUACAUGGCUUAAGCAGGAUAAGAAUAAGGCUAUGGGUGGACUGAAUUCCACUUGUACCCUUCUAUUCUUAAAGAACAUGUCAAAGAGAUUCAACACUGGAUUCCCCGACUCUCUAUGAAAUUAUAAAAAAUAUUUCUUUCACAGCUAAGUUUUUUGUUUGUUUCUUUUGUUUUGUUUUCCUUUUGUGUGUGUGUGUGUGUCUGUUUAUGUUUAACGUAGAACUAACCAACACAGAACAACUAAAACUUACAGUUCUGAUACUUCAAUGCAUUUGCAAUAGGUCCUCAAAUCACCGUUGAAGUUCAACCACACCUUACAGUAAUUGAUGUAAAAAUUGAAUGAUGGACAAGUAUAGUGAAUCAUUAAGAUUUGUGGAAAAGCAAAAAUAUGCAUAUUUUAGGUUUGAAUUCAUGUCACUCAGAUUUUCCUUCAUUAGUAAUUGCUUGUGUAAUUAGGAAAAGUACUAAAUGUGAUGUGAUGUGCCUUCUGGAAGAGCAGUGUAUAGCAACAAUGGUUUAGAAAUCCUGAAAUAUUUAGAAUUAGAGAAUUUAUCCUUCCAGUUCAUGGCAUUCAAAUGGGGAAUGGCGAAACUGUGGGUAGGGGCCAAAUAUUCUAUUAAAUGCAUAUUUAGUUAUAGUUUUCUUCUAGAUAAUAUUUUAGUCAUUAUGUGAAAUAAUGUGAAAUCUAGUGAAUUCCAGUUGAGUUUUUGUUACAUCUGAAUAACAGGUUUUAGUUUAGUGCCUUUUCUGUGGAUAUUACAUUAGGGAUCCCACAGACUUUAGUUUGAAAUGCACCAAAACAUUUUUAAUUAGGUUAAAGGUUUAAUCAUCUUUGUAUCCCUGGGUCUUAAAAUACAAAUAAACUAAUUUUUCAGCUGAGGGCUUAAGUUUAUUCUUAGACAAUAAAGUUUCUUAACAUUAAUGAUGUGCUCACUUUUAGAACAUUUUUAGUUACAAACUAGAUUAAAAUUUUCAUGAAUUAUUAUUUCACAGUAGUUUUGGUGUACUAUAUAAUAAAGUUAACAUUCAAAAGGGAAAUGAGUGUGUUUAUUACUUAUUAAAUGACGUAGAACUGAGUUACAGUGUUCAGGGUGACUUUUAAAAUGAAUAUGCUUUUACUAGAAUUCUGUAUGUGAAUAAAAUAUUAAUAUGUAUUCUGCUGUCAUUUCAAAAUCAGUGACAGCAGCUAGGACCAACGUUGGGGUGAAAAGCCAAACUUUCAAAGAGUCCUCAAUUUACGUCUGUGCAAUGUUGCUCACAGCCUGAUUGCACACAUUUACCUAUAUACAGAAAGUCAGAUUCAAACUUUGAUCCAUCCUUUGAGCACUGAAUCAAUCAUAAAUGUCAUUGAGGUAAUGUAUUAAAGACUGUUCUUUGCUUGGGUUCUUUUGGCUUUGCUUGUAGUCUUAAUUCUUUUUUUUUUUUUUUUUUUUUUUUUUUUUUACACUCAGAUGCAGUAAUAUGGACUGGGAUACAAAAAGUGUUUUAGUAAGUGGUCUGGUCAGAAAGAAAAUUUGAAAGUGUAGUUAAAGACCAGGAACUGAAAACUUGUCUCUGUGAAAAAAUGGCUUUUUUUUUUUUUUUUUAAUUUUAUCACAUUGGAAAAUUUUUUCUUCAUGCUGUUGCAACAAUAAAUUCUUUACAUUUAAUAUAUUUAUCAGAUUUUUUAAGCUGUAGAACUACUUGGAUAACUCACCUCACUGUGGAGCUGUGAUAUGCAAUAGAUCUUCCUGUAAGAAUUCUUUAGUUAUUACAACUUGGAUCUUUAAAUGUUAUAAAGCAGCAGACCUCAUGUCCAAUGUUGACUAAUUAUAACAAUAUUCAAUGCCUUGUAAGAAUCUUAAAAAGCUAUGCACAAACUACAGCUUUUUUCCUACUUUUUUUUUUUUUUUUUUUUUUUUUUUUUCCCGUAUAUGCAGAAACUGAUUCACCUCUGAGCAAUUUGACCAACAGGUCAUACAAAGGAUAAUUGGUUCAGUCUUGAGGUGUGUCACUGCCCAUGCCUGUAUUCCCUAAAUGUUAAGCAUGCUAAGUAUUAUGAAAGUACACAGACUUGCAAGUGUAUACAUGAUUUCAGUCAAUUCACAUAAAGAAUGAUGGAGAAGAAACAACAGUCUCUUCUAUCAGGUGAAAAUCUGAGUAAAUUUUUACUUUUGUAAAUCUUUAAAAUUUUAGAAAACUAUAGCAAUACUUGGAAAGAGGUAGUUUGAUCAGUACGAUUUCCAAAAUCUAUCCUUUCCAGCAUUUAAUCUGUGGAACAAAUAAUGAAGUUUUUCAUCUUCACUCUUUUCCCACUGAAGUAAACAGAAACUGCCACUGAUUUUAAGAAAUGCGUGGUUAGGUUUUCUGUCAGUGAAGAGUUCACCAUUCAGUCCAUAAUACAGUAGAAAUGUUUAAAAGAUUCUUCUUUGAACCAGUAUGGAUUUUACUUUUAUCAAACUUCAUUUGUUCAGCUACUUUAUUGGCAUCAUGUUGAUAAAUAUUCUGAGGCCACCAACUAAUAUUGAUUCUCUAAACAUGUUGAUUCUCUAAAUGUGAUAGGAGUUGAAAAUUCUAGUAAUCAGUAAACAAUACUUUUGAGUCAUUUUCUCUUCAAGAUUUGAAUUUAUCAUAGAUUGAAAGGUAUUCUCAAGACCAUGAUAGAUAUUUAGAAAAAACUUGUGCACAUUUGUAUUUUGACAGCUCUGCAGUUUUACAGGUAGCUUUACAAAGCUGAGGCCUUUUCAGCUUGAGAAACUGUUUCAGUAUUCAUAUGCUGUUUUAGUCACAAAUAUCAUAUUUGUUCCUUAAGCCUAAAGAAUUGAUAACUCAGAGCAAAAAAGGAUAUUGACUUUCACUAUUGUCUCCUUCUUCCCCAAAAUUUGAGUGAUAUUUUGGGUUUAUAAUCCUCUAUGAUGUUUGUUCAUUAAGACGUUUAAGUUAGGUAAUCACGCUAAGCCCACUGAGGGACUGAAAUAUUAAUUUAAAUUUGAUGUUAAUAUUCAUCAGCAUUUAAUUUGUGUGUCUCUGUGUUUUAAAUAAAUCAAUAAGAAAGAUCCAUUCAACAUAGCUAGAAUCUUUGUUGCUGUUUUUGAACUUAUAUCAGUAAAAGCUCAGGUUAGAUUGAAACUUAAAAUGCAUGAAAAGAAAAACAGCAGCUAAAAUUACUUUUUAGGUGCCAUAGGGUAUCUAAACAUAUUUAGCCAGAUGUUUUUCUAUGCCACAAAUAAAUGUGAUAUGUUAGGAUGAACAUCUAUUAUUUGUUUAUUUAGAAUAUUUGAACACUUAUUUUAAAGGGAAAAUAUUAUUUUAUUGUAGAAAUACAUCUGUCUAAAUAUAAAAUACUUUUUUUUUUUUUUGUAAAAUUGUCAUGUUACUGAAUAUUUUGUAAUCUCUGCUCAUGGAUAUCAGUUUGUAUACAUGUUACAUUUCUCUAUACUUUCUCUGUUUCUACUUAAGUACAAAUCAUCUGUCUAUAAACAUUUUUACCUCAAGUCUAAAGGUGUGGCAAUGUCAAUUUUUUAUCAAUAAAAUAAUGAUGAAUCUUUGAAUUGCCUUUGCUCAACAGUCUUAUACUUACAUUGAUAUUUACUGUGGUGACAAUCAAAACCUGAAAUUUAAAGGGAAGAGAUAUAGCAGAUGAGUAGCUGGAUCUAAAAUAAGUACACUGGAAGGGUCCUCUUCCAUAAUGGGUAGCUUAAAGUCUGUGAGGAAAAAUUUACAGUAGGAGAAAAGGAAGAAUUAGUAACAUAUCUACAGGAAUGUUAAACAUACAUGUGUCCAGUGCAGUGGAAUACAAAAGAGAAGACAAGAGAAUUACAAUGUAUUUUAGAUCUUGAUGAAUGUCUCACCUGCCUCUUACUCAGUGCAGCCAGGAUGUUAGAAAUAACAGCGACCUUUAAGCACGGGAUGGCAUCCAAUAGAGUUUCAGUGUUCUUCUGAAAACACAUACCUCCACAAACUUUUGCUUGUGCUCUGUAAUCUCUUUGCCAUUGAUCACAUAACUCCUUUCUCAUUUUAUUAAUCAUCUUACUCUCUGCCCUUGCUCCACCCUUCUCUCCAGCAAGAGAGUGAAUCUACAUUCUGUAAUAUUUUUAUUGAUUUAUCACCGUAUCAAGUAAUUUGAUGAACUAAGAGAGAUUGUCUCCAUUGAUUCCUGAUUCAUCCAUAUUUGAAAGCUGGGUACACAGAAUAUACUCACUUGUCAAGAAAGUAUUCAAGAUUAAGGAGAACUAGAGAGGAACAGUGGCAUACACGGCAGACAGGAUUUCUUCUCUUUCGUCUUUCUUCAUUCUCCCCCACCAUAUUAUGGAAGUAUUGGUAAUCCUAACCCUUCUGAGUAUCAUUUAUUAAGUCUCAUUUUAACUAUUAAAUAAAAUAUAUUUAGUACAAAGAUUAUAUAAUGGCAAUAAAGGGACAAUAAAAACUAAUUGGAUGAAUUUGAGAAAAAACUUUCUGCUGUUUCUUUCAUUAGAUCUUAAAUGAUGCAAAUAUGAUUCUACUUUUCACCAAGUCAGCAUUUUGUAAUGGGAAAUUUUUCUGGUUUUAAUCACUUUAGGUGUCUACAAAUAAUCUUCUCACCCAGUCAGUAAUUUGCUGUGUUCUGAUUAAGUCUCUGUCAGAAAAGUCUUUUUUUUUCUUUCUUUCUCUCUCUUUUUUUUUUUUUUUAUUCACCAAAUAAUUGAUUGAGUCUUUAUGAAAUGUCUUUGUCACCAUAGGAGAAAAGUGUGAAAUCUAUUGCAGCCCAGGAGGCUAUAACUGAAGAAUAACACUAGUCUGAUUAAUGUCAAACUAAUUUUAGUCCUACAACUAUCUAGCUGAAGUAAUUUUACUUCUUCAGAUAUACAAAUUAUAUUUUAAAUCCAUAGAGAGUUUCAAUACAAAAUGUCAAUAUUUUACCUGCACAAUAUGGAUUUCUAAAACACUGAGAUGGGCAAUUAAAAGAAAUAUGAUUCAGGCCUAUAUUUAUUGCAAUGAAAUUUUAUUUUUGUUUUGUAGAAUUAAUCUUUUCUUAUGCACUCUUAUAUGUACAGUAUUCACUUUCAUAUAGGGGUUUCCUUAAGAAAAUAAUUUAGGAAAUUGAUUCAGUGCUUGGCAGGAGGCCAGCCUUUUUUAGGUCCGUAUGAUUCACAGGAGAGUUUAUUCCUUUACACUGCUGCCAGAACCACUCCGAUUGAACUGUC